rnacentral:rRNA from 1 species
UUUUUUUGCCGAAGUGUUUCGGGUGUCAAACCCCUACGCGUAAUGAAAGUGAACGCAGGUGAGAGCUUCGGCGCAUCAUCGACCGAUCCUGAUGUUCUCGGAUGGAUUUGAGUAAGAGCAUACGGGGCCGGACCCGAAAGAAGGUGAACUAUGCCUGUAUAGGGUGAAGCCAGAGGAAACUCUGGUGGAGGCUCGCAGCGGUUCUGACGUGCAAAUCGAUCGUCAAAUAUGGGCAUGGGGGCGAAAGACUAAUCGAACCUUCUAGUAGCUGGUUUCCGCCGAAGUUUCCCUCAGGAUAGCAGUGUUGAACUCAGUUUUAUGAGGUAAAGCGAAUGAUUAUGGACUCGGGGGCGCUAUUUAGCCUUCAUCCAUUCUCAAACUUUAAAUAUGUAAGAAGCUCUUGUUGCUUAAUUGAACGUGAGCAUUCGAAUGUAUCAACACUAGUGGGCCAUUUUUGGUAAGCAGAACUGGCGAUGCGGGAUGAACCCAACGCGAGGUUAAGGUGCCAGAGUAUACGCUCAUCAGACACCACAAAAGGUGUUAGUACAUCUUGACAGCCGGACGGUGGCCAUGGAAAUCGGAAUCCGCUAAUAAUGUU